rnacentral:tRNA from 1 species
GCCUGGGUGGCUCUGUUGGUUAGAGCGUCUGACUUCAGCUCAGGUCAUGAUCUCAUGGUUCAUGGAUUCGAGCCCCGUGUCGAGCU